rnacentral:rRNA from 1 species
GGGGGGGGGGGGGGGGGGGGGGGGGGGGGGGUGGGGGGGGGGGUGGGGGGGGGUUGGGGGUGGGGGGGGCGGCGGACGGGUGGGUUAUGCUUAGUGGUGUUGCUGGUGUUGUGGGACAACUUCAGGAAACGGUCGCUCAUACCGCCUCGGUCUUGCGGGAGAGCGUGGGUGAUCUGCCGACCUCACUCUCUCAUCCGAGCCUCGGUCGGAUUAGCUAGUUGGUGGGGUAAAGGCCUACCACUGCGACGAUCCGUACCUGGUCUGAGAGGAUGAUCAGGCACACUGGAACUGAGACACGGUCCAGACUCCUACGGGAGGCAGCAGUGGGGAAUAUUGGACAAUGGGCGAAAGCCUGAUCCAGCCAUGCCGCGUGUGUGAAGAAGGUCUUCGGAUUGUAAAGCACUUUAAGUUGGGAGGAAGGGCAGUAAGUUAAUACCUUGCUGUUUGGACGUUACCAACAGAAUAAGCACCGGCUAACUUCGUG